CACGCACCCAACCCAACCCAACCCCUCGUGCCCUCCUCUCUCUCUCGAUCGAACCCUAGCGGUCCACUCCUCCCUGGCCGCCACCACCUCCGGCGCCCUCUGUCCGCCGCCACCUCCGGCGCCCUCUGUCCGGCGAGAUCGAUAUGGAUCGAUCCCCUCCAACCCUCCGACUCCACGACUCAUCCUCCUCCUCUCUGGAUCCCAAUCCCGGCCUCCUCCACGCUGAGCCGAGCGACACUCCCCACUCCCAGACGAAACCCUAGCCUGAGACCCCUUCCUCCUCGAUGGCCAACCCCUCCAUGGCGGCCGGCGGCAGGAUGCCGUUGGCGGAGGGGGUCCGCACCGUCGGGGCCCAGAUCCGCAACCGCAUCCGCAUCUUCGUCUUCUCUCUCUUGCCGGCUCCGACAGAGAGACAAACUUCCAAAUCUCUCUCGCUGCGGGCGAGCGGGCGGGGAUGGAGAGCCCCACAUCGGCGGCGUCGCGGGUGGACUUCUACGGCUUCCUCGACCGCAUGCGCCGCCCAGAGGCCGCCGGCCUCUUCCGCUCCAUCAAGAGCUUCCUCACCUCCAUCUCCCUCGACGAGCCCAGCACCGAGGCGGACGGCGCCAGGGUCCAGGCCUUCUUCACGGAGAUGGAGGCGGCCAUCCGGGGGCACCCGCUCUGGGCCGAGGCCACCCACCAGGAAAUCGACCACGCGCUCGAGGGCCUCAAGAAGUACAUCAUCACCAAGCUGUUCGACCGCACUUUCGCAGCCUCGCCGAAGGACGCGGCCGCCGACGCCGAGGUCUCGGACAAGAUCGGCCUCCUGCAGCGCUUUGUCAGGCCCCAUCACCUCGACAUACCCAAGGUCCUCAACAACGAGGCUUCCUGGCUGUAUCGGCGACAACAAGAAGGCCUGGAAGACCGGACACUGCAGGUAUGUGCAGUCGCUGCCAAGCUAUGUGAUAUUGUUAGUCUACAAGAUAAUUUCUGAUAUUGCCUUUUGGUGAUUACAGGGCACUGAAGAUAAAGCUUACAGAAAGAAAAAAAGAUCUUGAGGUGGCCUUUCUUCGGCAUGAUGUUAAUAUACUGAUGUUAACAUAUGCAUCUACUGUACUCCUGUGCAUGAUGUUAAUAAACUGAUGGAAUGAAUAGGGUACCAUCUCUUUGUUAUACUCUUCUGAAUAUUGC
rnacentral:rRNA from 1 species